rnacentral:misc_RNA from 1 species
GCCGCCACCAUGCUCAUGUACUUCCAGUCCGAUCCGGACACCUGGACCGGUCUGAUCUUCUCAGCCCCCCUCUUCGUCAUACCAGAAAACAUGAAACCGAGCAAGCUCCGCCUCUUCCUCUACGGCCUCCUCUUCGGCGUCGCCGACACUUGGGCCGCCAUGCCGGACAAUAAAAUGGUCGGAAAGGCGAUUAAAGAUCCGG